AGGGAAUCGGCGGUGCCUCUCAGUGCGCCCAGGGUCCCUGGGCAGGCCACAUCGUACACGCUUGUGACCAGGGCUCCUAUCGCAUGAGAACUUCAUCAUGUCAGUGACACAAAUACUGGAAGACAGUCUUUGGGUGAGGGACUGGCGCAGCAUCUGGAACUGACAGUCUAGGAGAACUGACUGGGAGUGCAACAAGAGGGACCCAGGUGCCACUCACUCAUUCUUUUGGGAGAUAUUUGCCUCCUAUUAUGUGUCCUUUUGAAUGACCAAGGAUGCUAUGCUGAACAGGCAUGUGCUACCCUUCCGAGGUGCACACAUCUGGACAAGACUACUACGCAGGUAUUCCUGUGGACAUUUAUUAAUUCAAAUUACUUUGCAGAAAAAAAAAAUCUUAAAGCAUUAAGGUCUCUUCAAAUGUUUUCUGGUCUUUGAAAAUGCACUCUCCUAUUUCAAAUUGCUAUCCACUAACAGGUGUGAAUUCUUGUGAAGUCACUGGCUUGUCUCAUCGCCACUCAGUAAGGGAUAUCUUCAAAG